rnacentral:rRNA from 1 species
UACGGAGGGGGUUAGCGUUGUUCGGAAUGACUGGGCGUAAAGCGCGCGUAGGCGGGCUGGAAAGUCAGGGGUGAAAUCCCGGGGCUCAACCCUGGAAUGGCCUUUGAAACUCCCAGCCUUGAGUUCGAGAGAGGUGAGUGGAAUUCCGAGUGUAGAGGUGAAAUUCGUAGAUAUUCGGAGGAACACCAGUGGCGAAGGCGACUCACUGGACACGUAUUAACGCUGAGGUGCGAAAGCGUGGGGAGCAAACAGG